ensembl:lncRNA
GAUAACAUCAUUGGUCAUCGUUACGACAGACGUGAGAAGGGCUGCAGCAGAGGGGGUUAGGGCAGAGGGAAGGCAGGCUUGAAGAGACUCGAGUUUGAACCCUGGGUCAGGAAGAGCCCCUGGAGGAGGGCAUGGCGACCCACUUCAGUAUUCUUGCCUGGAGAAUCCCAUGGACAAAGAAGCCUGGAGGGCUACAGUCCCUGGGGUCGCAAAGGGCCGGACACAACUGAAGGGACAGCACAUACAUGCACGCAGUUGGCAUUUUUACAAUUCGGGCUCAAAAGGACAAAGGAGCCGAGAGGUCAGCUGAAUGACCCGUCACUCUUCUGAUCACUUCACGUGCCUGAACUCAAUGAAUGCUGAAACAACCCUUCUAAGUGCACAGGAUGUAGGCGAAUGGACUUCAGUAGUUGCAGCAAACGGGCUCAGUACUUGCAGCGCAUGGGGUUCCUUGCUCCACGGUGUGUGAAAUCUUCCUGGACCAGGAAUCGAACCUGUGUCCCCUGCAUUGGCAGAUGGACUCUCACCCACUGAACCACCAGAGAAGUCCAAGGUGAUGCUUCCAUGAGCUCUUUAGAUCAUCCGUCUUUGCUUGAUCUCAAAAUAUCUACAGGAAACCAGUUCCAAGUCAUGGAAAUGCCAGGCCCAUGGCUAAGUGUGUUUUUAAUUUCAGUAGAUAGAGACAGAGAUCAAAUUGCCAACAUCUGUCAGAUCAUCGAGAAAGCAAAAGAGUUCCAGAAAAACAUCUGCUUUAUUGACUACGCCAAAGCCUUUAACUGUGUGGAUCACAACAAAUGUGGAAAAUUCUGAAAGAGAUGGGAAUACCAGACAUUACCUGCCACCUGAGAAACCUCUAUGCAGGUCAACAAGCAACAGUUAGAACUGAAC